CCUACGGGAGGCAGCAGUGGGGAAUAUUGCACAAUGGGGGGAACCCUGAUGCAGCAACGCCGCGUGAGUGAAGCAGUAUUUCGGUAUGUAAAGCUCUAUCAGCAGGGACGAAGAUGACGGUACCUGAGUAAGAAGCCCCGGCUAACUACGGGCCAGCAGCCGCGGUAAGACGUAGGGGGCAAGCGUUAUCCGGAUUUACUGGGUGUAAAGGGAGCGUAGACGGCGAGGCAAGUCUGGAGUGAAAGCCCGGGGCUCAACACCGGGACUGCUUUGGAAACUGCCUGGCUGGAGUGCUGGAGAGGCAAGCGGAAUUCCUAGUGUAGCGGUGAAAUGCGUAGAGAUUAGGAAGAACACCAGUGGCGAAGGCGGCUUGCUGGACAGUAACUGACGUUGAGGCUCGAAAGCGUGGGGAGCAAACAGGAGUAGAUACCCUUGUAGUC
rnacentral:rRNA from 1 species